CCUACGGGAGGCAGCAGUGGGGAAUAUUGCACAAUGGGCGAAAGCCUGAUGCAGCAACGCCGCGUGAAGGAAGAAGGCCUUCGGGUCGUAAACUUCUGUCCUUGGGGAAGAAAAACGGACGGUACCCAGGGAGGAAGCCCCGGCAAACUCCGUGCCAGCAGCCGCGGUAAUAGGUAGGGGGCAAGCGUUAUCCGGAAGUAUUGGGCGUAAGGAGUACGUAGGCGGAAACCUAAGCGCAGGGUUAAAGGCCAGGGCUCAACCAUUGUUCGCCAUGGAAACUGGGAUGCUUGAGUGCAGGAGAGGCAAGCGGAAUUCCUAGUGUAGCGGUGAAAUGCGUAGAUAUUAGGAGGAACACCAGUGGCGAAGGCGGCUUUCUGGACUGUAACUGACACUGAGGUACGAAAGCGUGGGGAGCAAACAGGAUUAGAUACCCUUGUAGUC
rnacentral:rRNA from 1 species